AACGAACGCUGGCGGCAGGCUUAACACAUGCAAGUCGAGCGCCCCGCAAGGGGAGCGGCAGUCGGGUGAGUAACGCGUGGGAAUCUACCCAUCUCUACGGAAUAACGCAUGGAAACGUGUGCUAAUACCGUAAACGUCCUUCGGGAGAAAGAUUGAUCGGAGAUGGAUGAGCCCGCGUUGGAUUAGCUAGUUGGUGGGGUAAAGGCCUACCAAGGCGACGAUCCAUAGCUGGUCUGAGAGGAUGAUCAGCCACACUGGGACUGAGACACGGCCCAGACUCCUACGGGAGGCAGCAGUGGGGAAUAUUGGACAAUGGGCGCAAGCCUGAUCCAGCCAUGCCGCGUGAGUGAUGAAGGCCCUAGGGUUGUAAAGCUCUUUCACCGGUGAAGAUAAUGACGGUAACCGGAGAAGAAGCCCCGGCUAACUUCGUGCCAGCAGCCGCGGUAACAC
rnacentral:rRNA from 1 species